rnacentral:rRNA from 1 species
UACGGAGGGGGCUAGCGUUGUUCGGAAUUACUGGGCUUAAAGAGCACGUAGGCGGCAUCGUAAGUGUCGGGUGAAAUCCCACGGCUCACCCGUGGAACUGCCCGGCAUACUGCGGUGCUAGAGUGUGGUAGGGGAGAGCGGAACUCCUGGUGGAGCGGUGAAAUGCGUAGAUAUCAGGAGGAACACCGGUGGCGAAGGCGGCUCUCUGGUCCACAACUGACGCUGAGGUGCGAAAGCUAGGGGAGCAAACGGG